rnacentral:rRNA from 1 species
AUCGAACGCUGGCGGCAGGCCUAACACAUGCAAGUCGAGCGGAGCGGCGGUCGGGUGAGUAAUGCCUAGGAAUCUGCCUGGUAGUGGGGGAUGACGUCCGGCAAUGGGCGCCAAUACCGCAUAAUACCAGAUGAGCAUAGGUCGGAUUAGCUAGUUGGUGGGGUAAGGGCCUACCAGGGCGACGAUCCGUACCUGGGCUGAUAGGAUGAACAGUCACACUGGAACUGAGACACGGUCCAGACUCGUACGGUAGGCAGCGGUGGGGAAUAUUGGACAUUGGGGGAAAGCCUGCUCCAGCCAUGCCGCGUGGGUGAGGAGGGUCUUCGGAUGUUAAGGCACUUUAAGUUGGGAGGCGUUACCAACAGAGUAAGCGCCGGCUAACUUCGUGCCAGCAGCCGCGGUAAUUC